CGGUAAUUCCAGCUCCAAUAGCGUAUACUAAAGUUGUUGCAGUUAAAAAGCUCGUAGUUGGAUUUCUGCGGGGACGGAGCGGCCGGACGCAACUUGCGUCUCGAGCUAGCGCUUUCCCCGCAUCCUGCCGCGAACCGUGCUACCAUUAGUUUGGUGGCGCCGGGGAUCGGCUCGAUUACUUUGAGAAAAAUAGAGUGUUCAAAGCAGGCCACACGCCUUGAAUAAGUUAGCAUGGAAUAAUGACUAAGGACUUUGGUUCUUUUCGUUGGUGUUCGGGACUGAAGUAAUGAUUGAUAGGGACAGUUGGGGCGGUCCGUAUUCCAAAGCGAGAGGUGAAAUUCUUAGACCUUCGGAAGACGAACAGCUGCGAAAGCGUUCCGCAAGGAUGUUCCCUUUGAUCAAGAACGAAAGUUGGGGGAUCGAAGACGAUCAGAUACCGUCGUAGUCUCAACUAUAAACUAUACCAGCUAGGGAUCGGUCAACGUUUAACUUUAUCGACUUGGUCGGCACCUUAUGAGAAAUCAAAGCAUCUGGGUUCCGGGGGGAGUAUGGUCGCAAGGCUGAAACUUAAAGGAAUUGACGGAAGGGCACCACCAGCCGUGGAGCCUGUGGCUUAAUUUGACUCAACACGGGAAAACUUACCAGGUCCAGACAUAGGAAGGAUUGACAGAUUGAUAGCUCUUUCUUGAUUCUGUGGGUGGUGGUGCAUGGCCGUUUUUAGUCGGUGGAUGUGAUCUGUCUGCUUAAUUGCGUUAACGGACGAGACCCCAGCCUGCUAAAUAGCGCGGCCGAGCUUUGCUCGGUGCGAGCUUCUUAGAGGGACCAUGAUGCGCGAUAGCACAAGGAAGUUUGGGGCAACAACAGGUCUGUGAUGCCCUUAGAUGUUCUGGGCCGCACACGGGCUACACUGGCGCCUGCAACGAGCAUAUCAGCUGGCCCGAGAGGGUCUUGGCUAAUCUUUGGAACCGGCGCCGUGCUUGGGAUUGACCAUUGCAAUUGUUGGUCAUGCAACGAGGAAUGCCUUGUAAACGCGAGUCAUCAGCUCGCAUUGAAUACGUCCCUGCCCUUUGUACACACCGCCC
rnacentral:rRNA from 1 species